rnacentral:rRNA from 1 species
UACAGAGGGUGCAAGCGUUGUUCGGAAUUACUGGGCGUAAAGCGCGUGUAGGCGGCGGCGUAAGUCGGGUGUGAAAUCCCUCAGCUCAACUGAGGAAGUGCACUCGAUACUGUGUCGCUUGAAUGUCGGAGGGGAUGGCGGAAUUCCCGGUGUAGAGGUGAAAUUCGUAGAUAUCGGGAGGAACACCUGUGGCGAAGGCGGCCAUCUGGACGACGAUUGACGCUGAGACGCGAAAGCGUGGGUAGCAAACAGG